AUAAAACCAAUGAGGGAGAAGAGUAGUUAAAAACGCAUGCAAAGAGAGGAAAUGCCUUGGGCUGAAAGCGUUUCUGCAUGGCUGUUUAACGAAAAACACUCCUUAGGUUUCCCUCUGAACUUUUAGUAGGAGGGAACGCAGAUGGCGUUAACGGACAAAGUGGGAGCAAUUUUCGCUCCAAUUAGGGUGGUACCACGGGAAUCUACUCUCGUCCCUUGU
rnacentral:ncRNA from 1 species